rnacentral:rRNA from 1 species
GCCUAAAUUUUAGCCCUAAUUUUUCUUAUGAAACCCCCACACUAAACCACCGCCACUAAAACAUUCUAACAAUCUAGUACAGGCGAUCGAAAAACUUCUAAGAGCUAUAAAUAGUACUGCAAAGGAACAAUGAAAUAGAAAUGGAAGAACCUUAAGCCUUACACAGUAGAGA